UAUAGAUGUGGCAAAACAAGUGAUGCG
rnacentral:sRNA from 1 species